rnacentral:rRNA from 1 species
CCCUUAGAUGUCCGGGGCCGCACGCGCGCUACACUGAAGGAAUCAGCGUGGCUCUGUCCCUGGUCCGAAAGGAUUGGGAAACCCGUUGAAUCUCCUUCGUGAUAGGGAUUGGGGCUUGGAACUGUUCCCCAUGAACGAGGAAUUCCCAGUAAGCGCGAGUCAUAAGCUCGCGUUGAUUACGUCCCUGCCCUUUGUACACACCGCCCGUCGCACCUACCGAUUGAAUGGUCCGGUGAAAUCUCGGGACGGCGGCUUGGUCGCUUGCGUCCGACUGCUGAAACUUGAUUAAACCAUAUCAUUUAGAGGAAGGUGAANUCGUAACA